rnacentral:rRNA from 1 species
GGUAUCCUGUCUGAAUAUGGGGGGACCAUCCUCCAAGGCUAAAUACUCCUGACUGACCGAUAGUGAACCAGUACCGUGAGGGAAAGGCGAAAAGAACCCCGGCGAGGGGAGUGAAAAAGAACCUGAAACCGUGUACGUACAAGCAGUGGGAGCACAGGUUUACCUGUGUGACUGCGUACCUUUUGUAUAAUGGGUCAGCGACUUAUAUUCUGUAGCAAGGUUAACCGUAUAGGGGAGCCGGAGGGAAACCGAGUCUUAAUUGGGCGUUAAGUUGCAGGGUAUAGACCCGAAACCCGGUGAUCUAGCCAUGGGCAGGUUGAAGGUUGGGUAACACUAACUGGAGGACCGAACCGACUAAUGUUGAAAAAUUAGCGGAUGACCUGUGGCUGGGGGUGAAAGGCCAAUCAAACCGGGAGAUAGCUGGUUCUCCCCGAAAGCUAUUUAGGUAGCGCCUCGUGAAUUCAUCUCCGGGGGUAGAGCACUGUUUCGGCUAGGGGGCCAUCCCGGCUUACCAACCCGAUGCAAACUGCGAAUACCGGAGAAUGUUAUCACGGGAGACACACGGCGGGUGCUAACGUCCGUCGUGAAGAGGGAAACAACCCAGACCGCCAGCUAAGGUCCCAAAGUCAUGGUUAAGUGGGAAACGAUGUGGGAAGGCCCAGACAGCCAGGAUGUUGGCUUAGAAGCAGCCAUCAUUUAAAGAAAGCGUAAUAGCUCACUGGUCGAGUCGGCCUGCGCGGAAGAUGUAACGGGGCUAAACCAUG